rnacentral:rRNA from 1 species
GACGAACGCUGGCGGCGUGCUUAACACAUGCGAGUCGAACGGUAAGGCCCUUCGGGGUACACGAGUGGCGAACGGGUGAGUAACACGUGGGUGAUCUGCCCUGCACUUCGGGAUAAGCCUGGGAAACUGGGUCUAACACCGGAUAGGACUCCUGCCUGCAUGGGUGGGGGUGGAAAGCUUUUGCGGUGUGGGAUGGGCCCGCGGCCUAUCAGCUUGUUGGUGGGGUGAUGGCCUACCAAGGCGACGACGGGUAGCCGGCCUGAGAGGGUGACCGGCCACACUGGGACUGAGAUACGGCCCAGACUCCUACGGGAGGCAGCAGUGGGGAAUAUUGCACAAUGGGCGCAAGCCUGAUGCAGCGACGCCGCGUGAGGGAUGACGGCCUUCGGGUUGUAAACCUCUUUCAGCACAGACGAAGCGCAAGUGACGGUAUGUGCAGAAGAAGGACCGGCCAACUACGUGCCAGCCGCCGCAGUAA